UACGUAGGGUGCAAGCGUUAAUCGGAAUUACUGGGCGUAAAGCGUGCGCAGGCGGUUAUGUAAGACAGAUGUGAAAUGCCCGGGCUCAACCUGGGAAUUGCAUUUGUGACUGCACGGCUAGAGUGUGUCAGAGGGGGGUAGAAUUCCACGUGUAGCAGUGAAAUGCGUAGAGAUGUGGAGGAAUACCGAUGGCGAAGGCAGCCCCCUGGGAUAACACUGACGCUCAUGCACGAAAGCGUGGGGAGCAAACAGG
rnacentral:rRNA from 1 species